AGUGAACGCUGGCGGUAGGCCUAACACAUGCAAGUCGAACGGAAGCACAGUAAGAGUUUGCUCUUACGGGUGGCGAGUGGCGGACGGGUGAGGAAUACAUCGGAAUCUAAUUUUUCGUGGGGGAUAACGUAGGGAAACUUACGCUAAUACCGAAUACGACCUACGGGAGAAAGCAGGGGAUCUUCGGACCUUGCGCGAUUGAAUGAGCCGAUGUCGGAUUAGCUAGUUGGCGGGGUAAAGGCCCACCAAGGCGACGAUCCGUAGCUGGUCUGAGAGGAUGAUCAGCCACACUGGAACUGAGACACGGUCCAGACUCCUACGGGAGGCAGCAGUGGGGAAUAUUGGACAAUGGGCGCAAGCCUGAUCCAGCCAUACCGCGUGGGUGAAGAAGGCCUUCGGGUUGUAAAGCCCUUUUGUUGGGAAAGAAAAACAGCAGGUUAAUACCCCGCUGUUCUGACGGUACCCAAAGAAUAAGCACCGGCUAACUUCGUG
rnacentral:rRNA from 1 species